GGACUUGAAAAUCCGUUGGCUUUAUAGACCAUGAGGGUUCAAGUCCCUCUACCCCCA
rnacentral:tRNA from 1 species